rnacentral:rRNA from 1 species
UGGUCAAGUUAUUAAGGGUGCAGGGCGGAUGCCUUGGCACUAGGAGCCGAUGAAGGACGCGAUAAGCUGCGAUAAGCUUCGGGGAGUUGCACGUAAACUUUGAUCCGAAGAUUUCCGAAUGAGGAAACUCACUUAGAGUAAUGUCUAAGUAUCGUUAAGUGAAUACAUAGCUUAGCGAGGGGAACCCGGGGAACUGAAACAUCUAAGUACCCGGAGGAAAAGAAAGAAAAUUCGAUUCCGUAAGUAGCGGCGAGCGAACGCGGAACAGGCCAAACCA